UGUCAAAAUUUCUAUCUAUUUCUACUAUUAAAAACUAAUAUAACUGACGAAGAAACUAACUAUUUACACGUGCUGUAUGAUAUGUACUCAUGUUAAUGUAUAAUGACUAAUUUUUAAUAAUAGAAAUGGAUGAAUAUUUUAACA
rnacentral:pre_miRNA from 1 species